rnacentral:rRNA from 1 species
UACGAAGGGGGCUAGCGUUGCUCGGAAUCACUGGGCGUAAAGCGCACGUAGGCGGAUCGUUAAGUCGGGGGUGAAAUCCUGGAGCUCAACUCCAGAACUGCCUUCGAUACUGGCGAUCUUGGAGUCCGGGAGAGGUGAGUGGAACUCCGAGUGUAGAGGUGAAAUUCGUAGAUAUUCGGAAGAACACCAGUGGCGAAGGCGGCUCACUGGCCCGGUCCUGACGCUGAGACGCGAAGGCGUGGGGAGCGAACGGG